UGUUGUUGUCGAAAGUGUACU
ensembl:piRNA 21ur-309 ncRNA